GUGCAGCGGAGCGAGCGCUGGCUGGCCGGACCUGGCCGCUGGACGCUGCCCUGGGUACGGGCGGCCGUCACGCGCCCGCCGACGGUGAACCUGACACCGCAGGGGAAUGGGGUCGGUGAACUGACGCCGCAGGGAGGGGGCGGAGAGCACGCCCGGCCAUUGUUCGGGAUUAAGAGGCUGAGUCAGUCGGGAGUCAGGGCUGAGACUGGAAGGUGUUGUUGAGCGUUCUGUGGUGUGGCCGAGGUGGUGCAGAAGACCGUGCUUUGUCUGACUUUGUAAGUUCGGAAUACUCACUUUUUUCUUGAGACCUUUGGAUUUGCCGGGCGGACGAACUGUGGUGAUCAGAGACAACUCCUACAAGCUAUUUCGGCACCUAAUAUCAUGGCCAGUUUUGAUGUCAAAUUAAUUCCGGAAUUCGACGGCUCCGGUGACGUGCUCGACUGGCUGGAGAAGGUCGAGCUAGUGUGCGGGCUGCAGGAGCCGCCAGUGAGGCAGACGCUGGUGAUACCCCUGCGGCUGAAAGGAGGAGCAUCUGCUGUGUAUCGGCAGCUGGUGGAGGCUGACAGGAAGGACGUGGUGAAGCUCAAGGAUGCGCUGAAGCGUGCGUUUGCGGUGGAUAAAUACGCUGCGUAUGAGCAGUUCAGCACCCGCCGUCUCCGCCCCGGGGAAACAGUUGAUGUUUUCUUGGCGGAGCUGCAGCAGCUUGCGACGCUGUUCGGAGGAAUGUCGGACGAGGGCCUGGGGUGUGCCUUUGUGGCAGGUCUGCCGGACUCUACCAGGCAGAUACUGCGAGCUGGAGCGCGCAUGGAGUCGUUAAAGCUCUCGGAGGUGGUGGACAGGGCUCGCGCCAUCUUGCGAGAGGAGAACGGCGCAUCGGAGGUGGCAGCCGCGCUGGUCAAAGAGUCACCAGGCGGUCGGGAUCGCGGCCGAACCGUCAGUAGCGGCAGGAGAGAGCGCGGACCUUGCUUUACGUGCGGCCGCCUGGGGCAUCUCGCCCGUGAAUGUUCGGCCCGCACUGGCCCCCGCGAAAUCCGGUGUUUCCGGUGCGACAAGACUGGUCACAUCGCAGCUCGGUGUCCGGAAAACGCGGAGAGAGAGGAGGAUCGUGUGCCGGCCUCCUCUCGGGAUUAAGAUGGAGCGGCGCACUACCAACGAGACACCUGAAUGUGAACGGGGUGUUGUGUGAGGUGUUGAUCGACACGGGAUGUACCAGAACGGUGGUUCAUUCGUCGCUCUGCGCCGAGUGGAAGAGGCGUUCUGUGUCCAUGGUGACAGUUAGUGGUCAGAGAGUGGACUGUGCGGGCACGGCUGAAACCGAUGUUGGGGUACCUGGGGGUGAUGCUGUGGUGCUUGAUGCGUUGGUUGUAGCGGUGAAGCCGCUGGGUUUCGGUGCAAUUUUAGGAAUGGAUGGUGUGAAAGCUCUUGGGGGUGUGACCGUGCGUUCUUCUACUGAUGUGCGAUUUGCAGGCGAGGGAGACGUGUGCGCCGGAGCAGGAGGCUCCGUGGACCUAGCGGUGGAAAAGGAGGACUUUCGAGUCGUGUUCGAUGCGAGGGAAAGGCGCUGGACUGUCGAGUGGAAGUGGUCGGGAAAGAAACCGCCAGAUCAACUGAAAAACGGAGUGAGCGAGUACCAUGUGACGGAUGAAGCGAGAGAGGACUAUGAGAGAGAGCUGGAGACGUGGAUCGAGAACGGGUGGCUGCUGGAGUACGACGAAGAAAAGCAUGGCGCUCCCAAAGGGCUGAUACCGUUAAUGGCGGUGGUUCAAGAGAACAAGGCGAAAGUGCGGCCGGUCCUUGAUUUCCGGGAAAUGAACACUCACGUCGACACGUUCACGGCGGACGUUGACGUGUGCAGUGAGAAGCUUCGUGAAUGGCGCCGGACGGGUGAGAAAGUGGCACUCCUGGAUCUGAAGAAGGCGUACCUUCAGAUACAUGUGGAGGAGUCACUGUGGCCCUAUCAGACAAUCGAGUUCAAAAACAAAAGGUACUGUCUGACGAGACUUGGGUAUGGUCUUAAUGUGGCACCCCGAGUCAUGAAGACGGUUCUGGAGACAGUGGCGAAGCAGGACAAGAACGUGGAGAAGGCAGUAUCGUCGUAUGUCGAUGACGUUCUGGUCAACGAGGAGGUAAUGUCGGCCGAGAAGGUGGCCGAGCACCUUCAAGCCUUCGGUCUCGAGUGUAAGGACCCCGCUCGCGCACAGGAAGGCGCUCGGAUUCUCGGCCUCCGAGUCUGGGGGGAGCAAGGCGCACUCAUGUGGAAGAGAGACAACGAUGUCCGAGAAGUUGCCGGACCGGUGACAAAGCGGAAAGUGUUCUCCCUCUGCGGGCAGCUGACGGGGCACCUUCCGGUGUGCGGCUGGCUGCGGCCGGCGACCUCGCUCCUCAAACGACGUGCGAACAGAGCAGCAAGUGGCUGGGACGACGAGAUUGACGACCCGGACGUGGAGCGUCUAAUGGACGAAAUUGUGAAGCGGGUCAGAGCAGAGGAUCCUGCCAGGGGACGGUGGGAUGUGAAGGGCGACAGAAUCACAGUGUGGACGGAUGCCAGUGCUCUGGCCAUGGGAGUAGUUGUUGAAGUGGGUGACGAAGUAGUGGAAGACGGGAGCUGGCUUCGCCCCGACAAUGGAGUACAACACAUCAACAUGGCAGAGCUAGACGCAGCCCUGAAAGGCGUGAACAUGGCCAUCCUGUGGGGCGCGGAAAGAGUCCGGUUGAUGACUGACUCACGGACGGUGUACCACUGGAUCACCGACCUCCUCAGUGGCAGGGCCCGACUGAAGACGAAAGCUGCCUCUGAAAUGUUGAUAAGAAGAAGGCUAAGCACCCUCAGGAUGCUCGUGGACGAGUACGAGCUGGACGUGAAUGUUCAGUGUGUCUCGUCGGCUGAGAACAAAGCGGACGCACUGACGAGAGUGCCGGACGCCUGGCAACGGGUGCUUAUGUGCAAAGAGGAGGCUGCAGCAUGCGCUGUGGGAGACGGAGACGACCCCGACAGGCUGGUGAAAGAGGUGACCCAAAUUCACCACGCUUCUGGUCAUCCUGGUGUCCGGAGGACGCUAUACUUCGCUAGGAGGGCGAACAAGCUCGCUACGAGACGACUUGCGCAGGCCGUGGUGUCGGCCUGUCAGACGUGCAGGUCUGUUGAUCCCGCUCCUGAAAAGUGGCGCGAAGGCCGCCUGGAGGUCGACACCACGUGGGACAGAGUCGCCGUCGACGUGACUCACCAUCAUGGGUGUCUGUACCUAACGGUGGUGGAUUGCGGCCCAUCCAGGUUUGCGAUCUGGCGUCUCCUGCGGUACGAGACCGCCGCAUGCGUCAUUGCGGAGCUGGCGGCGAUAUUCUGCGAGCGGGGACCGCCGGCAGAAAUGUUGCUGGACAAUGCCACCACCUUCCACAGCAGGGCGUUUAGAGCUUUCGCCAACGACUGGAACGUCGCAGUGCGAUACAGGGCGGCGCAUGUGCCGUCAGGGAACGGAGUCGUCGAAAGGAACCAUCGCUCCAUAAAGGUGAUUGCGACGAGAGCGAAAUGUGGGGUGGCAGAGGCAGUAUACAGGUACAAUACAACGCCGAAGGACGAUGUCACUGAAGCUACGACACCUGCUGGUAUGGUGUAUCGGUACGACGUCCGAGUGAAAGACGUCGACCCCGUUCCGACAGUGAGGGACGAUGGACAGCAGGAGAGCCGCUACCACGUCGGAGAUGCUGUCUGGGUGAAAUCACCGAGAGCACGCUGUGACGAGCAGUAUGGCAGGGGAGUGGUGACUGGUGUGGUGUCACCGCAAACUAUCGAAGUUGACGGUGUACCAAGGCAUGUCCGUCAUCUGCGUCCGCGUGCAGACGAGGCAGAGCAACCAGUUUCCGCAGAGGCAGAGCAACCAGUUUCUGGGGAUGAGGAGCCCUGCUUUGUACGGUGUCCCAUCGACCGGCAUGACCGAGACGACCAGCAAGACCAACAGGAAGAAGCUGCGAGUGACACAGAGGCUGGGCCGAGGCGAGGUACGCGGGCUCGGCCUGUCACGCAGUUGUACGGAGACCCCGUGCCGAGCGAUGUCUUAGAUACCUACGUAUGAGCGUUGUUAGCGUGUGAUGUGAGCACUAGCGUCUGUUGGUUGCGAUCAGGAUCGGGGGGGAGUGUAGUGGAAUGUAGUGGUGCAGCGGAGCGAGCGCUGGCUGGCCGGACCUGGCCGCUGGACGCUGCCCUGGGUACGGGCGGCCGUCACGCGCCCGCCGACGGUGAACCUGACACCGCAGGGGAAUGGGGUCGGUGAACUGACGCCGCAGGGAGGGGGCGGAGAGCACGCCCGGCCAUUGUUCGGGAUUAAGAGGCUGAGUCAGUCGGGAGUCAGGGCUGAGACUGGAAGGUGUUGUUGAGCGUUCUGUGGUGUGGCCGAGGUGGUGCAGAAGACCGUGCUUUGUCUGACUUUGUCGGACGUGUUGGGCCACAUCCUGCCCAUCGUCGGCCAAAACUGGGCGCAGAGCGGCGUGGCGGCGCUCUACUCCAAGAUCCGUGACAACGGCUACAAGUUCCUCUACCUCUCGGCACGGGCCAUCGGUCAGGCGCCCAUUACCCGCGAGUACCUGAAGUCGGUGCGCCAGGGUGAUCUGAGUCUGCCCGACGGACCGCUCCUGCUCAGCCCUUCGUCUCUAGUCAGCGCUCUGCACAGGGAGGUGAUCGAGCGCCGCCCGGAGGACUUCAAGAUCCCGUGUCUGCGUGACAUCCAGGCGCUGUUCCCGGGCCGGAACCCUCUGUACGCCGGCUACGGCAACCGGGUGAACGACGCGUUCGCGUACCGAGCCGUGGGCAUCCCGUCGUCGCGGAUCUUCACCAUCAACCACCGCGGCGAGCUGCGUCACGAGCUGACACAGACCUUCCAGUCCUCCUUCCUGAGCCAGGCGCGCGAGGUGGACUGGCUGUUCCCGCCGCCGCUCGUGCGGAGGGAGUCGCCGGCGGUGGCUGUUCCGAUGCCGGUGCCGCAGCCGGGCCGCCGCUGUAGCACAGAUAGUCUCGGCCUGCGACCCGCCUCCAACUCCAUCGAUAUUCCCCGGCGACACGCAGCGCCCGCUAUACAAAUCUGACUCACAUUGUGGACCACUUUUUCCCGCCUUGUGGUGAUCGCGACGACGUGGCUAACCUAGACUACAACUCGUUCGUGUACUGGCGGGACCCGAUCCCGGAGCUCAGCGAGCUGCCUCAGCUGUGACCUGGCUACGGGCCGUGCCGGACUCGUGUCGCGUUCAGUGCCGUGUGCGCGCGGUGCUCACAGGGGUGUGAUAGUGAGCGCCUGUGGAGCCGCCCUGGCGCCGCGAGCCAUGUCUGAAGUCGGGACCACUGCCGUUGGCCGCGCCGCCGCCGCUACGCGCGCCAGUCACUCCGUUACCGAUGUGCCGUGUUUGGGCAGACAGGCCGAGUCUGCCGCUCGUCAGUCACUGUGGUGUUCUAGCUGUUACCGUGUAUGUAUUUCCACUGUGAACGCGCCGUAGGAGGCGGCGCGUUUCAAACGCCUUGCCGGUCGCGCCAUGCCGACUAUGAUCGGCAGAGGGUCGGUGGGCAGGAUUCGGGGAGAAAUUAUUUUUCACGCAGACGGUAGAUGUGUAGAGUGUCGAUGUGGGCUUCCGUUGCUACCCGGUAUGCUGUUACGUCUGACGGUCCUUGGCUGGAGCUGUAGCCGUUCCUCGGUUGGAGCUGUAGCCGUUCUCGGUUGGAGACGCUGCUCGGUUAGAGUUGUGGCCGGUCCUCGGUUGGAUUAUGUUGGUUCGGCGCACUGUUGUAGGUGCCCGCCUCCGCCCGGAGCGGGCGCCGCCUGGCUGUGUGAGAGCUGUUUGAGCGCAGGGUACGUCUGGAGCGGGUCCAUCGUGUUUGCCGGUCGCCGCCGCGCGCCAACCCAGAGCUGGUUACUCGCAGGUAGCACGCGCCCGCUCGUUUUGUUGUAUGUCCGCCGCGGGAAGUCGGUUUGGUUCCUGUAGUCGGCCGUUUACCAAUGUGUUAUCACGUCUAGUCGGGUGGGUCGGGCCGGGGCGCCAUUGCUCUCGGGCAUAGUACAAUCGCGGCGCUCGGGGCCGUGGAGAAGUGAGGGACGGCAAUGCCACUCAAACCUGCUGUUGGCUGCGACUCGCGGCUUAUUCCUGGCUUUGUUAAUGUUUUAUGACUCCAUGAAAUAAAGAACGCUGCCAA